rnacentral:rRNA from 1 species
GACGAACGCUGGCGGCGUGCUUAACACAUGCAAGUCGAACGGAAAGGCCCUGCUUGCAGGGUACUCGAGUGGCGAACGGGUGAGUAACACGUGGGUGUUCUGCCCUGCACUUCGGGAUAAGCCUGGGAAACUGGGUCUAAUACCGGAUAGGAGCCAUUUUUAGUGUGAUGGUUGGAAAGUUUUUUCGGUGUAGGAUGAGCUCGCGGCCUAUCAGCUUGUUGGUGGGGUAAUGGCCUACCAAGGCGGCGACGGGUAGCCGGCCUGAGGGGGUGGACGGCCACAUUGGGACUGAGAUACGGCCCAGACUCCUACGGGAGGCAGCAGUGGGGAAUAUUGCACAAUGGGCGCAAGCCUGAUGCAGCGACGCCGCGUGGGGGAUGACGGCCUUCGGGUUGUAAACUCCUUUCGCUAGGGACGAAGCUUUUUGUGACGGUACCUAGAUAAGAAGCACCGGCUAACUACGUG